AUUGAACGCUGGCGGCAGGCCUAACACAUGCAAGUCGAGCGGAGCGGCGGACGGGCGAGUAAUGCCUAGGAAUCUGACUGGCAGUGGGGGUUAACGUCAGGAAACGGGCGCUAAUACCGCAUCCUAUCAGAUGCGCCUAGGUCGGAGUGGAUAGUUGGUUGGGUAAAGGCCUACCAAGGCGACGAGCCGUAACGGGUCUGAGAGGAUGAUCAGUCCAAUGGGAACGGUGACACGGUCCAACCGCCUAGGGGAGUCAGCAGUGGGGAAUAUGGGAAAAUGGGCGAAAGCCGGAUCGAGCCAUGCCGCGUGGGUGAGUAAGGUCUGCGGAUGGUAAAGCACUUUAAGUUGGGAGGCGUUACCAACAGAAUAAGCACCGGCUAACUUCGUGCCAGCCGCCGCGGUAAUAC
rnacentral:rRNA from 1 species